rnacentral:snoRNA from 18 species
CAAUAUGAUGAAGCGGCACUGGGCUCCGAGAGUACCUAAUGGGCUCGACCAUGAGCGACACGCCUCUUUGCGGCAGGCCUAGAAAACCUCGCCCACUGAUU